rnacentral:lncRNA from 1 species
ACCGACGAGUACUCGGCUCUCGUUCCUGACGGACACUCAUGGCUAGAAAAUAAAAAGUCAGAACUUUGUCGGAGUGGUUUUUAUUUAUUUAUUUAUUUAUUUAUUCUUUUUUCUCUAUUAUUUGAUUAUACGCAUGUGGAAAGGAAUCAUCAAAUCCAAAACAGAAUCAAUCGUGGGUGCGUGGAUUAGCAGAAGCCUCAAAAGUAAAGAAUAAAGUUCAGGAUUCUAGCCACGGACGGAAAGUCAAAGAUUUUGGUCAUUACUCGUGUUUGUGAACAACCUAGAUGGACGAGAGACAAAAACUCAAGAUAGAAGUCGUACAUGACUCUGGCGGCCAGGUGGGACUUGUUUAGUUUUAGUUUUUUUUUUGCAAAAUAAAUAUAGUAACAUUUUUGUUUGUAUUCGAUAAAUAUUAUGGACUAACUAGGCUCAAAAGAUUCGCCAAGCAAAUUAUAGAAAAACUGUGAAAUUAGUUAUUUUUUUAUCUAUAUUUAAUGCUCCAUGCAUGUGCCGCGAGAUUCGAUGUGACGAAGAAUCUUGAAAAAAAUUGCAAAUUUUUUAGAAGUAAACAAUGCCUAUAAACGUACCAUGAGACAUAUUUGAAUUUUAAUCUUGGGUUUCGAGAAGCCUUAUAUUUUACAUGUAAGACCACAAAUGACAAAGGGCUCAUAUGACACGACGUGUAGAUCAAACGGUCAUUACAAGGGAAGAGUAAGAUCACAUACGACGGAGAGCUCAUAUAGCACAAUGUAUAUAUCGAACGAUUAUUAUAGAGGGAGGGUGUCCUUCAAAAAAUUCGCUCUUUUAUAGUAUAAGGAUGAUGAUGAACUAGAUCGACGGUCGUCUGUUUAGGGAAAAAACGUUAUGACUUAUUAUUUGGUGAUG